rnacentral:rRNA from 1 species
CCUACGUGAGGCAGCAGUAGGGAAUCUUCCACAAUGGGCGAAAGCCUGAUGGAGCAACGCCGCGUGGGUGAAGAAGGUCUUCGGAUCGUAAAACCCUGUUGUUAGAGAAGAAAGUGCGUGCGAGUAACUGUUCACGUUUCGACGGUAUCUACCCAGACAGCCACGGCUAACUACGUGCCAGCAGCCGCGGUAAUACGUAGGUGGCAAGCGUUAUCCGAUGUAUUUGGCGUAAAGGGAACCGAAGCGGUCUUUUAAGUCUGAUGUGAAAGCCUUCGGCUUAACCGGAGUAGGUCAUUGGAAACUGGGAGACUUGAGGGCAGAAGAGGAGAGUGGAACUCCAGGUGUAGCGGUGAAAUGCGUAGAUAUAUGGAAGAACACCAGUGGCGAAAGCGGCUCUCUGGGCUGUAACUGACGCUGAGGUUCGAAAGCGUGGGUAGCAAACAGGAUUAGAUACCCCGGUAGUC